rnacentral:rRNA from 1 species
AUUGAACGCUGGCGGCAGGCCUAACACAUGCAAGUCGAGCGGAUGAAGAGAGCUUGCUCUCUGAUUUAGCGGCGGACGGGUGAGUAAUGCCUAGGAGUCUGCCUGGUAGUGGGGGAUAACGUUCCGAAAGGAACGCUAAUACCGCAUACGUCCUACGGGAGAAAGCAGGGGACCUUCGGGCCUUGCGCUAUCAGAUGAGCCUAGGUCGGAUUAGCUAGUUGGUGAGGUAAUGGCUCACCAAGGCGACGAUCCGUAACUGGUCUGAGAGGAUGAUCAGUCACACUGGAACUGAGACACGGUCCAGACUCCUACGGGAGGCAGCAGUGGGGAAUAUUGGACAAUGGGCGAAAGCCUGAUCCAGCCAUGCCGCGUGUGUGAAGAAGGUCUUCGGAUUGUAAAGCACUUUAAGUUGGGAGGAAGGGCAGUAAGUUAAUACCUUGCUGUUUUGACGUUACCGACAGAAUAAGCACCGGCUAACUUCGUGCCAGCCGCCGCAGUAAUAC